rnacentral:rRNA from 1 species
UGCAUCUGAAAUCAGGCAAGAUCACCCGCUGAACUUAAGCAUAUUACUAAGCGGAGGAAAAGAAAUCAACGAAGAUUGCCUCAGUAGCGGCGAGUGAAGCGGCAAUAGCUCAAGUUUAGAAUCUGCAGUCGUGUCGGCUGCCGAAUUGUAAUCUAAAGGAGUUAACAAAAGGGGAAGCCGAAGCAUAAGUUCCUUGNAACAGGACGUCAAAGAGGGUGAAAACCCCGUAUGUAGCUUUGGCCGAACCGAAUGUUGGCUUUCUAAGAGUCGGGUUGUUUGNNAUUGCAGCCUAAACGGGAGAUAAACUUCUUCUAAGGCUAAAUAUCUAUGGGAAACCGAUAGCGAACAAGUACUGUGAAGGAAAG